rnacentral:rRNA from 1 species
ACCAGUACCGUGAGGGAAAGGCGAAAAGAACCCCUGUGAGGGGAGUGAAAUAGAACCUGAAACCGUAUACGUACAAGCAGUGGGAGCAGACUUGUUCUGUGACUGCGUACCUUUUGUAUAAUGGGUCAGCGACUUAUAUUUAGUAGCAAGGUUAAGCGAAUAGCGGAGCCGUAGCGAAAGCGAGUGUUAACUGCGCGUUUAGUUGCUAGGUAUAGACCCGAAACCCGGUGAUCUAGCCAUGGGCAGGUUGAAGGUUGAGUAACAUCAACUGGAGGACCGAACCCACUAACUUUGAAAAGUUAGGGGAUGACUUGUGGCUGGGGGUGAAAGGCCAAUCAAACCGGGAGAUAGCUGGUUCUCCCCGAAAUCUAUUUAGGUAGAGCCUCGGACGAAUUCCAUUGGGGGUAGAGCACUGUUAAGGCUAGGGGGUCAUCCCGACUUACCAACCCUUUGCAAACUCCGAAUACCAAUGAGAACUAUCCGGGAGACACACGGCGGGUGCUAACGUCCGUCGUGAAGAGGGAAACAACCCAGACCGCCAGCUAAGGUCCCAAAUACCAAUUAAGUGGGAAACGAUGUGGGAAGGCUUAGACAGCUAGGAGGUUGGCUUAGAAGCAGCCAUCCUUUAAAGAUAGCGUAACAGCUCACUGGUCUAAAUAAGACGUCCUGCGGCGAAGAUGUAACGGGGCUCAAGCCAUGAGCCGAAGCCGAGGAUGCACAUAGUGCAUGGUAGCAGAGCGUAGUGU